rnacentral:rRNA from 1 species
UACGUAGGCAGCAAGCGUUGUUCGGAAUUACUGGGCGUAAAGCGUGCGCAGGCGGUUGUGCAAGACAGAUGUGAAAUCCCCGGGCUCAACCUGGGAACUGCAUUUGUGACUGCACGGCUAGAGUGCGGCAGAGGGAGAUGGAAUUCCGCGUGUAGCAGUGAAAUGCGUAGAUAUGCGGAGGAACACCGAUGGCGAAGGCAAUCUCCUGGGCCUGCACUGACGCUCAUGCACGAAAGCGUGGGGAGCAAACAGG